AGUGAACGCUGGCGGUAGGCCUAACACAUGCAAGUCGAACGGCAGCACAGUAAGAGCUUGCUCUUACGGGUGGCGAGUGGCGGACGGGUGAGGAAUACAUCGGAAUCUACUUUUUCGUGGGGGAUAACGUAGGGAAACUUACGCUAAUACCGCAUACGACCUACGGGUGAAAGCAGGGGAUCUUCGGACCUUGCGCGAUUGAAUGAGCCGAUGUCGGAUUAGCUAGUUGGCGGGGUAAAGGCCCACCAAGGCGACGAUCCGUAGCUGGUCUGAGAGGAUGAUCAGCCACACUGGAACUGAGACACGGUCCAGACUCCUACGGGAGGCAGCAGUGGGGAAUAUUCGACAAUGGGCGCAAGCCUGAUCCAGCCAUACCGCGUGGGUGAUGAAGGCCUUCGGGUUGUAAAGCCCUUUUGUUAGGAAAGAAAAGCAGCAGAUGAAUACCCCGCUGUUCUGACGGUACCCAAAGAACAAGCACCGGCUAACUUCGUG
rnacentral:rRNA from 1 species